CCUACGGGAGGCAGCAGUGGGGAAUAUUGCGCAAUGGAGGAAACUCUGACGCAGCAACGCCGCGUGAGUGAUGAAGGCCUUCGGGUCGUAAAGCUCUUUAAUCAGGGAUGAUAAUGACAGUACCUGAAGAAUAAGCCACGGCUAACUACGUGCCAGCAGCCGCGGUAAU
rnacentral:rRNA from 1 species